rnacentral:rRNA from 1 species
AACGAACGCUGGCGGCGUGGAUAAGACAUGCAAGUCGAGCGCUUGUUUUCCGGUACCAAUAUUGGGGAGCAGGAGCGGCGCAAGGGUGCGUAACACGUGGAUCAUCUGCCUGGAAGUUCGGAAUAAUCCCGAGAAAUCGGGACUAAUGCCGGAUGUGAUUGCAGGAUUAAAGCUGGGGACCGCAAGGCCUGGCGCUUCCAGAUGAGUCCGCGGCCUAUCAGCUAGUUGGACGGGUAAAGCCCACCAAGGCUAAGACGGGUAGCUGGUCUGAGAGGACGACCAGCCACACUGGAACUGAGACACGGUCCAGACACCUACGGGUGGCAGCAGUCGAGAAUUUUUCUCAAUGGGCGAAAGCCUGAAGGAGCGACGCCGCGU